rnacentral:rRNA from 1 species
GACGAACGCUGGCGGCGUGCCUAAUACAUGCCAGUUGAGCGCUGAAGGUUGGUACUUGUACCAAUUGGAUGAGCAGCGAACGGGUGAGUAACGCGUGGGGAAUCUGCCUUUGAGCGGGGGACAACAUUUGGAAACGAAUGCUAAUACCGCAUAAAAAUUUUAAACACAAGGUUUAAGUUUGAAAGAUGCAAUUGCAUCACUCAAAGAUGAUCCCGCGUUGUAUUAGCCAGUUGGUGAGGUAAAGGCGCACCAAGGCGAUGAUACAUAGCCGGCCUGAGAGGGGGGUUGGGCAAAGUGGGACUGGGAAAACGCCCAAGACCCUUCGGGAGGGGAGAGGAAGGAAUCUUCCGGAAAGGAGGAAAAUCUGGACGGGCAACGCCGCGGGGGUGAAGAAGGUUUUCGGAUCGGAAAACUCUGUUGAUAGAGAAGAAAGAUGGGGGGAGUGGAAAGCUCAUCAAGUGACGGUACCUAACCAGAAAGGGACGGCUAACUACGUG